CAUGGGGCUCAUUGGAUUGGCAAAAGCUCAAAAACAAGCGCACCCCAACUAUUGUUGGGAUCGGCUAGGAAAGAGAAAGCAAGGAGCAUGGGUCCAACGCCAAACAUUUUGAAGAUUUAGAAAGUGCUAUUAAUAUAGCAGAGCGGCCAAGCCCUGUUUCAGUUCUUGAGCCACUAUUUAUAGAUGAUGACAUCAGCCUUUCAAAAACCAUUUCUCGACGAGAGGUGUCAAUACAACCACUACAGGCCAGUACCAGACCUGAAAACUGCUAUACAUGAGGUCUGGACAUGAGUUUUUUGGCAUCUCCUUCCGCUUCCAUUCCCUCGUACUUUGGACCAGAUUGUCACAAAAGACAUGUCAAGAACUGGAACGUGGAUGGACCUUCGAUUUGAUAUUGAGACCAUUGGUGCUGACAUGGGUUAAGCCAUUCUCCAAGAAUUGAUGGAAGAUACCAUAUUAAGCUAUGUAGAUGGAAGUCCCAAACGUGAAAAUGCUUUAGUUAUGGCCGAGUCAAAUGAAAAAGAUUGCAUUUUGAACUUGUAAAACACAAUCUGGCUUAUUGUUCAUGCCGAAAACCAACCCACCUUCUGGUUGAGGCAGUUGGAAAGCAAGUCAUAUAUGUGCAUACAGAUUCAGAGGAUGAGAAGCAACAUUUCACCAAUUGAGAGGAGAUCUUCUUUAGCUGUCCCGGAGUAUCCUGGAUCCAAGAUGAAUUGGCUUUGCAACUUUGUCAACUGAACUCAUGUAGAUAGCAUAGAAUCUGCCACAUCGAAAAACUAUGGCUCCCUCGGAAUCCUGGGCAACAGUUCUUGCAAAGCGUAUUUGCAAAUACGCUUUGCAAGAACUCAAAACUGAUAGGUACCAUUUCUUUGUCAUUGUCCAUGUCAAGCACUGAGGCUGUAAUGUAGAGUUGUU